rnacentral:rRNA from 1 species
UACGUAGGUGGCAAGCGUUAUCCGGAAUUAUUGGGCGUAAAGGGUGCGUAGGUGGUUUCUUAAGUCAGAGGUGAAAGGCUACGGCUCAACCGUAGUAAGCCUUUGAAACUGGGAAACUUGAGUGCAGGAGAGGAGAGUGGAAUUCCUAGUGUAGCGGUGAAAUGCGUAGAUAUAUGGAGGAACACCGGUGGCGAAAGCGGCUCUCUGGCCUGUAACUGACACUGAGGCUCGAAAGCGUGGGGAGCAAACAGG